GGGGAAUUAGCUCAGUUGGUUAGAGCGCCUGUUUUGCAAUCAGGAGGUCAUCGGUUCAAAUCCGAUAUUCUCCA
rnacentral:tRNA from 1 species